GAAGCCAGUGUUAACGCAGGCUGCCUGGCACCCUGAUUUCCAGCCAGAGUUGAUGAAGACUGCUUGGAAUGAAGACUAAUCCAGACCACUGUGUACUUAGCGAGCACGAUUAUUUAGGAAAAUAAGAAGCAGCCAUCAGAUGACCAAAAUUAGACUGUCAUUCUCCCAGGCUCCACCUGCACCCAGACUGCAGUCGCAAGGAUUCUCCACUCCAUGGCUGGUUGUGUCACUGCUAGUCGACAGCUGUCCCGCAUCCAGAAAGGACUGGGAUUGAUUUAGCCUUUACUCCUGCAGGUAGAGCAGCGUGGCGUAAAAAGCCCCAAACUGUGCACACGCGUGCGUGUGGGUGACCAGCCGUGCCCCAUCAGAAGCAGUUUGGUGACCAGGCUCCAAGCAGUACCUGCUCAGCUGAAUAUGCACGCUAGAAGCCAUCGUGUACAAUCAGACUGCAUCUUGGCUCCUGGCUAAACAAAGGUUGUACUGAAAUCACAUGCUUCCAAGGACUGAGGAAUGCUAAUUCUCAACUGCAAAUAUUGACUUACAGACCAUAUAGCAAAGAAUAAGCAAACAAAGGGUUGUGGAGAAAUGGACGAAACUCUUUAUGAAAAAAAGCCAAUCAAAACCCUAUAUGGUUGGGCUGGGGAUUUAGCUCAGUGGUGCCACCGCCUGCCUUGCAAGGACAAGGUCCCGAGUUCGAUCCCCAGUACCAAAAACAAAACAAAACAAAAACCCUAUAUGGCUAAUACAUUUCAGUUAAUUUGAGAUACUUGCUCAGAAGAAGAAGGCAAACAUUUUAUUUUCCUUUUACAUUUUGGAAAGAGAAGCCAGUGAGGAUGUGGCUUUCAAUGCCUAUAAUAGGUUAAAUUUUAAAUGUCUCCCAGAAGUUAUUUUGUUAAAGAACUGUCCACAGCUGAUGGUACUACUGUAUUAGGAGGUAGUGAAACCUUUAGGAGGUGGGGACUAGUGGCAGGAAGUAAGGUCAUUGGGGGUGUGGCCUUGUAGGGGAUAUUGGGACCUUGGCCACUUCCUCUCUUUUUCUUCUUCCUGGCUGUCAUGAUGGGGGUAGCUGUUCUUCCACUCUGUGUGCUGCCUGCCUGGUCACAGGCCCAACGUGACAAGUCCAAGUGACCAUGGACUGAUACCUUUAACACUAUGAGCCAACAUAGAUACUUUCUCCUUUUAAAUUGUUUGCCUUGGGUAUUUGUCACAGCUGUGAUAACACAAUGCCAUUGCUAGAAAUCUCUUUUCAGUUUGGAUUUGGGGAAAAAUUAUCUUCCCAGGCUCUGAAUUCUCCAUUUUAAUUUUUUA